AUGCUAGACAAUACAAUAAACAAAGUAGCAGAAGUUCUUUCUACAGAGGAAAUGGAAGAAUGGCAGCCUAAAAAGUUCAGUACAAUGGACAAGACUUGAGCAGGAAGAUGUUGCAUAGAGGAAUUCGAUAGCAUGCAGGAACAUAUUGAGCAAGAAAACUUUGUGCAAGAGGAUAUUUCGUAUAGGGAGGAAUUAAAUAGUCUGGUGAAAGUU
rnacentral:lncRNA from 1 species